CCUACGGGUGGCAGCAGUGAGGAAUAUUGGUCAAUGGGCGCAAGCCUGAACCAGCCAAGUCGCGUGAGGGAAGACUGCCCUAUGGGUUGUAAACUUCUUUUAUAUGGGAAUAAUAUGUUCCACGUGUGGUCUUUUGUCCGUACCCUAUUAAUAAGCAUCGGCUAACUCCGUGCCAGCAGCCGCGGUAAUACGGAGGGUCCGGGCGUUAUCCGGAUUUAUUGGGUUUAAAGGGUGCGUUGGGGGUUUUUUAAGUCUAUUGUGAAAGUUUGCGGCUCAACCUUAGAAUUGCAAUUGAAACUGGAGGACUAGAGUACAGUAGAGGUAGGCGGAAUACGUGAUGUAGCGGUGAAAUGCUUAGAUAUAACGAAGAACACCGAUAGCGAAGGCAGCUUACUGGACUGUAACUGACGCUGAGGCUCGAGAGCGUGGGUAGCAAACAGGAUUAGAUACCCCUGUAGUC
rnacentral:rRNA from 1 species